rnacentral:rRNA from 1 species
CCUACGGGUGGCAGCAGUGAGGAAUAUUGGUCAAUGGGCGCGAGCCUGAACCAGCCAAGUCGCGUGAGGGAAGACGGUCCUAUGGAUUGUAAACCUCUUUUGUCGGGGAGCAAAAGACGCCACGCGUGGCGUUCCGAGAGUACCCGAAGAAAAAGCAUCGGCUAACUCCGUGCACGCAGCCGCGGUAAUACGGAGGAUGCGAGCGUUAUCCGGAUUUAUUGGGGUUAAGGGGUGCGCAGCCGGAAGCUCAAGUCAGCGGUAAAAUUGAGGGGUUCAACCUCUGCGAGCCGUUGAAACUGGUGUUCUUGAGUGAGUGAGAAGUAUGCGGAAUGCGGGGUGUAGCGGUGAAAUGCAUAGAUAUCACGCAGAACUCCGAUUGCGAAGGCAGCAUACCGGCGCUCAACUGACGCUCAUGCACGAAAGUGUGGGUAUCGAACAGGAUUAGAUACCCUUGUAGUC